GCAGUUCCCAUUCCUAGUAUGCCAACAUGGGCCUUGGGGUGUUGAAGCCGGGAUGGAAACGGAGUUGUACCGCUGAUACUGCAGGAAAAGCAUGUUGGUGGUAGUGUCCAAUGUCCACCCAAUGGACAACUCGUCGGGGAUGUCCAUGUAGAAAGCGGAGAUGAAAACGGAGUAGUACCGCUGAUACUGCAGGAAAAGCAUUGCAUCCUGUUGUUGGUAGUGUCCAGUGUCCACCCAAUGGAAAAACAACAACAAACAACAACAACAAAACGGCAAAGGCGCUAUUAUGAAAUCAGUACAGAUUUAAAAGGAAUACAAAUGCCGCCCUUUAAUGGCCAACCGAAACAGGUUGGCAUAUUGGAAAUCGGAACUGAUCUGCAAAUGUUACGGAGAAGAUGACAAAGCAUCCGUGACAUUGAAGGAUGCCCUGACGCGCAAGCGAACAUGAGUGAGCAAACUUUGGAUCGCAGGAAACAAAUUUGGAUGUAUGGUGCACACUUGACGACUCCGUGCUAAGGUUUACCCUGGGGACAGCUGGCUCGAAAAGGAAAUAAACCAAAUAAGGACGGAGGAUCGAAAACAGGCCGUCGUGUC